GGGUUGUGAGGUUAAGCGACUAAGCGUACACGGUGGAUGCCCUGGCAGUCAGAGGCGAUGAAGGGCGUGCUAAUCUGCGAUAAGCGCCGGUAAGGUGAUAUGAACCGUUAUAACCGGCGAUACCCGAAUGGGGAAACCCAGUGUGACUCGUCACACUAUCAUUAACUGAAUCCAUAGGUUAAUGAGGCGAACCGGGGGAACUGAAACAUCUAAGUACCCCGAGGAAAAUAAAUCAACCGAGAUUCCCCCAGUAGCGGCGAGCGAACGGGGAGGAGCCCAGAGCCUGAAUCAGCAUGUGUGUUAGUGGAAGCGUCUGGAAAGGCGCGCGAUACAGGGUGACAGCCCCGUACACAAAAGCGCAUGUGCUGUGAGCUCGAUGAGUAGGGCGGGACACGUGGUAUCCUGUCUGAAUAUGGGGGGACCAUCCUCCAAGGCUAAAUACUCCUGACUGACCGAUAGUGAACCAGUACCGUGAGGGAAAGGCGAAAAGAACCCCGGCGAGGGGAGUGAAAAAGAACCUGAAACCGUGUACGUACAAGCAGUGGGAGCCCCACCACCAAAGCAUUCUCUGGUGUUGAAGGCCCUGCAAAGCAGCAUCGCGGUGGCGGAGCGUCGUUUGCGACGCCCAACACACAAAACAAGCGGUGAGUGCUUUGGGGUGGGGUGACUGCGUACCUUUUGUAUAAUGGGUCAGCGACUUAUAUUCUGUAGCAAGGUUAACCGAAUAGGGGAGCCGGAGGGAAACCGAGUCUUAAUUGGGCGUUAAGUUGCAGGGUAUAGACCCGAAACCCGGUGAUCUAGCCAUGGGCAGGUUGAAGGUUGGGUAACACUAACUGGAGGACCGAACCGACUAAUGUUGAAAAAUUAGCGGAUGACCUGUGGCUGGGGGUGAAAGGCCAAUCAAACCGGGAGAUAGCUGGUUCUCCCCGAAAGCUAUUUAGGUAGCGCCUCGUGAAUUCAUCUCCGGGGGUAGAGCACUGUUUCGGCUAGGGGGUCAUCCCGACUUACCAACCCGAUGCAAACUGCGAAUACCGGAGAAUGUUAUCACGGGAGACACACGGCGGGUGCUAACGUCCGUCGUGAAGAGGGAAACAACCCAGACCGCCAGCUAAGGUCCCAAAGUCAUGGUUAAGUGGGAAACGAUGUGGGA
rnacentral:rRNA from 1 species